AUUGAACGCUGGCGGCAGGCCUAACACAUGCAAGUCGAGCGGAUGAAGGGAGCUUGCUCCUGGAUUCAGCGGCGGACGGGUGAGUAAUGCCUAGGAAUCUGCCUGGUAGUGGGGGAUAACGUCCGGAAACGGGCGCUAAUACCGCAUACAUCCUGAGGGAGAAAGUGGGGGAUCUUCGGACCUCACGCUAUCAGAUGAGCCUAGGUCGGAUUAGCUAGUUGGUGGGGUAAAGGCCUACCAAGGCGACGAUCCGUAACUGGUCUGAGAGGAUGAUCAGUCACACUGGAACUGAGACACGGUCCAGACUCCUACGGGAGGCAGCAGUGGGGAAUAUUGGACAAUGGGCGAAAGCCUGAUCCAGCCAUGCCGCGUGUGUGAAGAAGGUCUUCGGAUUGUAAAGCACUUUAAGUUGGGAGGAAGGGCAGUAAGUUAAUACCUUGCUGUUUUGACGUUGCCAACAGAAUAAGCACCGGCUAACUUCGUG
rnacentral:rRNA from 1 species